UAAUGACAUGCAUGUGUUGGUCCGA
rnacentral:misc_RNA from 1 species